CACGGGGGGAACGCGAAGAACCUUACCAGGGUUUGACAUCCCGCGCUAAACCCAGAGAUGGGUGGUCCCCGCAAGGGGCGCGGAGACAGGUGCUGCAUGGCUGUCGUCAGCUCGUGUCGUGAGAUGUUGGGUUAAGUCCCGCAACGAGCGCAACCCUUAUCCUAUGUUGCCAGCGCGUAAUGGCGGGGACUCGUGGGAGACUGCCGGGGUCAACUCGGAGGAAGGUGGGGACGACGUCAAGUCAUCAUGCCCCUUAUGUCCAGGGCUGCAAACAUGCUACAAUGGCCGGUACAAAGGGCUGCGAGACCGCGAGGUUGAGCGAAUCCCAUAAAGCCGGUCUCAGUUCGGAUUGAAGUCAGCAACUCGACUUCAUGAAGCUGGAGUCGCUAGUAAUCCCGGAUCAGCAACGCCGGGGUGAAUACGUUCCCGGGUCUUGUACACACGC
rnacentral:rRNA from 1 species